rnacentral:lncRNA from 1 species
UCCGAUUGCCUAUGCAAUAGCAUCCUUUAGGCACAACAUCCGGGAUGAAUGGCGGGCCCGGCAGCUCGGCUAGGAUAGGCCGAGAACAAUGUUCGCCCUCACUUCCCUCUUGACCCUCUUUUGCCCGUGUGAAGAUAAUUGGCUAGCUCGGCACAAUCACAAUGCGGAUGACCCUGGAACCUCUGAAGUUUGGGACAGAAUCGGCAAGCCAAGAAAAAACCAAGAACAAACACCGCCACUGCAACCGUGACGCCGAUGACACAGUAGUAAAUGCUAGAUUUCACAGCUCAAAACCUAUACAAUAGAAGAAACCCUUUAAAGGGAACAGAGACGAACCGACUCCAUGGGAUAAAAUUAUGGGACGGACCUGCCAUAUCCAUGGCACUGAAGAAAAACCCGCCACCCACACCAACCGUAACUGUUGGGUGUUCAAGCAAGCCGGCAAGCUGGCCACCGACGAACAGAACAGGGGCCCACGAAGUGAAGACGAGGAGGAGCCAUGCGGACCGAACACUGGGGGGCCAAAAAUAGUUCCCUCCUGAGGUCAAAACCAUGAACAUGAUUUAUGUCACUCGUAUACCAAAAAGGAGAGGAAACGAGCCCUUCGGGAGGUAUACGUCGUAGAGCUCGUAGCCCCGAAAAAUAAUCCAUGGUCGGCUUGCCCAAUCAC